rnacentral:rRNA from 1 species
UACGGAGGGUGCAAACGUUGCUCGGAAUCAUUGGGCGUAAAGCGCACGUAGGCGGACCAUCAAGUCGGUUGUGAAAUCCCUCGGCUUAACCGAGGACGUGCAUUCGAAACUGAUGGCCUUGAGUACGAAAGAGGAUCGCGGAAUUCCCGGUGUAGAGGUGAAAUUCGUAGAUAUCGGGAGGAACACCAGUGGCGAAGGCGGCGAUCUGGGUCGAUACUGACGCUGAGGAGCGAAAGUGUGGGGAGCGAACAGG